UACUCAUCUGUGAUUAAACUGUGUUAACUUUAAGUAAACAAUUAAAGUAAAAAAAUAAAGAUAUUAUUUUUAAUAUAAUAAGAAAAAAAAAUAUAUAACUUUGAGUAUCAAGAAUUAUUCAACAUUUAUUACGUAAAUUAUAAUGUAAUCAUAUGAUUUUAUCUGGCAAUCAUAUUACGUGAACACGCUCUUCCCGCGAAUUUUGUGCAACUUUUCUGCUUCCUGGAGGAAUAUAAGUCCACCAAGCCAGGAAAAAGAAAAGAAGGGAUGCUGCUUUGCCGAUGAAAGCUAAUGCUAGCAUAUAUCUGAAACAAGUGGCCAUUAGUGAAAUUAUAGAGGACGCCAUAAUCAAGUCUGGAACGAUUUCUACAGAUAUAGAAAUAAUUAAACGAAGAUAUACAAGCAUGGAGGAUGAUUGAAUCACCUUUUGAAACCUCUUCUCGAUGACCUUUCAUCAAGGCCAGCUGCUUGAAA